CUUUUCGGUACUCGCGAAUGCAUCAGAUUAUUAUUUGAUCAUGGCUCAGAUUGAACGCUGGCGNGCAGNGCCUAACACAUGCAAGUCGAGCGGCAGCACAAGUAAGUUUACUUAUGAGUGUGGCGAGCGGCGGACGGGUGAGUAAUGCCUAGUGGAUCUGCCCAGUCUGAGGUGGGAUAACAGUUGGAAACUGACUGCUAAUACCUGCAUAACGCCCUACGGGGGGGGAAAAAAAA
rnacentral:rRNA from 1 species